AAAGUAAUGAAAAUGUGUUUUUCUUUUCUUUUUUUGUGCUUUGAGAGGUAGUUUUAAUUCUUUUUAAGUUAACUAAACUUCAUCAGAAAACUUUUGGGGUUCUUGACUUUUUUAUUUAUUUAUUUUUAUUAUUUCUGUUCAUUUGUUUUGUUUCUUUUCGUUUUGAAUUCCUUCUCUUUAAAUUGUCUUUCCGUUUGCUAUUUUCUGUUAAAUUGGUUCUGUACGGGGUCUGACUUCUCCUUUUGGGUUCAAUUUGUUUGUUGGUUUUAGAAUCAUCUAUGUUGUUUCUGCAUCAAAACUAUAUCAGGUGUGUAAAGAAAACCUGAUUUUCUGUAAUUU
rnacentral:lncRNA from 1 species